CGCGUAGAUAACCUGCCUUGUAGCGGGGGAUAACUAUUGGAAACGAUAGCUAAUACCGCAUAACAAUGGAUGACACAUGUCAUUUAUUUGAAAGGGGCAAUUGCUCCACUACAAGAUGGACCUGCGUUGUAUUAGCUAGUAGGUGAGGUAACGGCUCACCUAGGCGACGAUACAUAGCCGACCUGAGAGGGUGAUCGGCCACACUGGGACUGAGACACGGCCCAG
rnacentral:rRNA from 1 species